GUCUACAGCCAUGCCACCCUGAACAAGCCCAAUCCUGUCUGAUCUCGGAAGCUAAGCAGGGUCAGGCCUGGUUAGUACUUGGAUAGGAGACCACCUAGGAAGACCAGGUGCUGUAGGCG
rnacentral:rRNA from 1 species